UGGGGAAUAUUGCACAAUGGGGGAAACCCUUGAUGCAGCGACGCCGCGUGAACGAAGAAGGUAUUCGUAUCGUAAAGUUCUGUCCUAUGGGAAGAUAAUGACAGUACCAUAGAAGAAAGCUCCGGCUAAAUACGUGCCAGCAGCCGCGGUAAUACGUAUGGAGCGAGCGUUGUCCGGAAUUAUUGGGCGUAAAGGGUACGCAGGCGGUUUAAUAAGUCGAAUGUUAAAGAUCGGGGCUCAACCCCGCAAAGCAUUGGAAACUGAUAAACUUGAGUAGUGGAGAGGAAAGUGGAAUUCCUAGUGUAGUGGUGAAAUACGUAGAUAUUAGGAGGAAUACCAGUAGCGAAGGCGACUUUCUGGACACAAACUGACGCUGAGGUACAAAAGCGUGGGGAGCAAACAGG
rnacentral:rRNA from 1 species